CUGACGCUAAAGCUCGAAAGUGCGGGUAUCGAACAGGAUUAGAUACCCUGGUAGUCCGCACGGUAAACGAUGGAUGCCCGCUGUCUGCGAUACACUGUAGGCGGCCAAGAGAAAUCGUUAAGCAUCCCACCUGGGGAGUACGCCGGCAACGGUGAAACUCAAAGGAAUUGACGGGGGCCCGCACAAGCGGAGGAACAUGUGGUUUAAUUCGAUGAUACGCGAGGAACCUUACCCGGGCUUGAACUGCAGGCGUACGAUACAGAGAUGUUGAGGCCCUUCGGGGCGCCUGUGGAGGUGCUGCAUGGUUGUCGUCAGCUCGUGCCGUGAGGUGUCGGCUUAAGUGCCAUAACGAGCGCAACCCCUUUCUCCAGUUGCCACCAGGUGAUGCUGGGCACUCUGGAGACACUGCCACCGUAAGGUGUGAGGAAGGUGGGGAUGACGUCAAAUCAGCACGGCCCUUACGUCCGGGGCUACACACGUGUUACAAUGGGUGGUACAGAGAGUCGGUGCAUCGCAAGCUGCAUCUAAUCAUGAAAGCCAUCCUCAGUUCGGAUUGGGGUCUGCAACCCGACCCCAUGAAGCUGGAUUCGCUAGUAAUCG
rnacentral:rRNA from 1 species